AUCCAGCUCCCGUGACCUGGCCGCCUGUGUUCACUGCAAAGCGGGAAAGCCGCGUUCUGCCGGCUCCCCGUCCACUAAAGGACGCCAGCAUUAAUUCACAGGAUCUUUGCAGGUUUUAUCUGAAGAAGGGGUAAAAACUGGACAGCAGGAGCAGGAAAAGGGGAGUGGACAGUCAGCGAUAAGGUACCCAGAACAAGCUCUGUAAGAGGGGACUUCAACUUCACUCAUGACAUGUGGGUAGAAAGAGCAAACCAGCCUUCUUCAUUUUGUUUUUCAAUCUGUUGAACAAAGAUGCAGAACGGAUUUAGAAGAUAACCAGGAACAUGAACCGCUCAGCAUUUACAGAUCGUUUAUACAAAGGAUACAACAAAGUCAUCUGGUGUCACUGAGUGGUAGUGGUCAUGCUUCUUCUCUAACACAGAUAGUACCAAAUAACGUUACCGGCUCAACAGGCCUCCUUACUGAUUAAAGAUUAUCUCUUCUCUUC